CCCCGCCCAGCCAGCCGAGUCGCACAGCGCUGGAGCCCGGCUCACGAACGGUCUCGCGCCCGCCGUGCGCCUCCCCACGGGGCUGGAAGCUGGCAACCUCCAACUUCCUGGUGGGAGACGCCUCUGGCCUCCGACCCUGUCUCCGUCUCCGCCCCUCCAGCCGAGUGCACGGAGGCGGGCGUUAACUCCUCUUCGGUCACCCAGGCCCCACCCUACCCGCCGUCCCUUGGAGCCGCGCAUCCCCGCCGGCCGGGGGGAGGUGAAGCGAACGGGACCCUUGUGAUUCCACUGAAUGGGAUGACCCAGGAUGAUGUCCCAUUGAAAGUCUGCUGAGGAGCAGUUGCAUCUACAACCUUAACGCCCCUUGGCCAUGUAAGGAUUUACAGGCUCAGCGUUGACUCCAGAUUCAGCCCUUGCCAUCUUGCUCCCCACCUUGAGAGCAGCAGCACCAAAAAUAGCAGCAUGAGUCACUGAAGCAUCGGGCAUUGUCAUCAAGGGCCAGGACGCUUGCUGUGGUGGAGCUUCUGCUUGAGUUCCAGGGACCUGGGGAAGGGGACCCUGGCCAGCUGGCCCCCAUCACUGCCUCCUGUACCCCAGGGGGAGACCUGAGUUCACCGAGAAAUUUGAAGCCUGAAUUGGUGGAAAUGUUAAUGUUCUGAAGUGGCUUUACCAUGACACUGCAUAAGGACCUCAGGGUCCCUCAUUUGCACCCGUUCUAAAGUUCUAUACUCCUUUAUUUUUUUUUUUUUUACUGUAUUUUAUUUUUCUUUUCUGAAAGAGGGCUCUCCAAGUUUCAUGUUUCAGGUCUGAGAAAACAAGCAUGAGUUAAUUUUGUUUAAUUCUCAUUGUGACCUUGGGAAAUCAUUGGCAUGUCUUUUCCAUUUACAGACAAGGAUACGAGAGCAUAGCAAAGCCUUCCUUGGAUUCCUGGAAAAUUCCAGAUUUGUUUCAGCCUCAGGGCCUUUGCACUUCCUAUUGCCCUGUCUUGAACUCUGUCCGUGGCUUGGGGAUUUUACUAACCACCAACUGCUAGGCACUCCUUCCUUCCCUGCCUCCCUGGCCCUGUUGUCAGUGCUUUAUAAAUAUGAAAUCAUUCAAUACUCACUACUCUGACACGGAAACCUGUCGAUCCACGUUUUAAAAUGAAAGCAACUGAAGCAUGGAGAGCUUAAGCAGAUUGCCAGAAGUCACACAGCUGGUGAGUUACAGCCCCACCUGUCUGCCCCACUGGAAGACAAGGUUCACCAGUGCAGAGCUGCAGCUGAGGCCUGCCCUGCUCACUCCUGAGCCCCUGGGCCCAGAGCAGUGCGCCACACGCACAACCGUACAAGCAGGAUGUGAGACAGCAGAGGCCAGGUCACAGAGAAGGAGGGACGACAGGGAAGCCUGGAGAGAGGCUGUGGGGGAGAUGAUGGAAGGCCUCAAAGGGCCUCCAGCGGUGGAGGACAAGCCGGGCUGGGGGGCAGCAUUGAGACCGGCAGGAGUAUGGUGGUCUGGGCACAGUGCCAAGAAAGGCAAGCUCUCGUUGACAGAUUCAACUUAGCAGGUUGGCGGGCAAACGCCUUGGAGUUAACCUCCUUCCUUCAUGCCCUGCAUCCAAUACAUGAACAGACCCUGUCAGCACCUCCAAAACGCAUUCCUAAUCCCACUUUUCUUACCCAAAUUCUGCUCCCACCUGGCCCACCGCACCAUCACAGCUCUCCUGGAAUCCUGCCACUGCCAACUAGGAGGUCCCCCUGGCUUUCAUCCUCUUCACUGAUACAGCAGUAAGGGGGAUCCUGAUAAAACUGUCAGAUCAUAUCACUUUCCUGCUUAAAAUCUGCUAGCAUGUUCCAAAGUGAACACAAUGGCGUCUCAUACUGCAGG